UUUUUGCUACUAGGUCAUUUGUGGGAUGUUUUUCAGAAGUUUGGAUGCAUAGUAUACCUACGACUAGUCAGAGACAUAGUUGUUUGUUUCAACUGUUGUGCUACCAUUUUCCAGAGUGUUAAGUGUUAAUGUGAGAAAGGCAGGGAUGAAGCAGCAAGUGAUGAAGUGUGUAUAUGAAACCUGUAAUGUAUUUACUCCAUGACUUAUAAUAUUUGAACAUAGAUACUUAUCAUUUUCAUUUUUGUUGAUUUCCUUGAAAAGCA